rnacentral:lncRNA from 1 species
CUAUUCGGACUUUCUUCAAUCUUUCUGUCAUGUGGCAGGUCCAGAGCAGCUCCUGGGAAUUAUUUCAGCAGCCUGAGGCUCACAGGCUGUUUCUGAACAGAGAGAUCUGAUGAACUCUUCACAGGAAGAAUGAGGUGAAAACCGUUCUGAUCCUUCCAUGGACUGUCUGGUGCUAUUCAUUUCUCAAGAUAGCAAGCCUUGCACAUAGAAUAUUAUUGAG